CAUCAAUGUCUGACUUUUUGUCCCUGAUUAAUAAAUAAUCCAACUGCAUAGGUUCACAUUUGCUGAUAGCAGUCUUUUUUAUCUGCUGUAUUUAAUAUCAUCACUUACAUUUGUGGUACUUUGAGUUCAGUGAUUCUGAAAGGAGGAUAUUUUCCUUUCUGUAAAAAGGUAUCAUUUUACUAUCAACUCAGAUGUCCCAUCUCUAAACUUUCUAGUAAAAGUCCUCAGAUGUAGCAGGAAGUAAAAUCUGGUCGGUGUUUUGAUAAAAUAGCGUUUUAUAGCAAGUUGUAAAACGGAUAUUAGUUGUAUGUGAGUGUACGUGUGUAUCUUGUGCAUGUGUGAUGGGUUUCUGCCUUAUCUGAUAAGGCAACAGCUGCUGAGCUGGUUAUAGAAUGACUCACUGUUGGCUGUCUGUCAUGUUUCACUCACACACACACACACACACACACACACACCCUUUUAAGUCCACAAGAGCUGUGUCAUCUAUUUGCCAAUUCGUAGCCUGAGACAUGCCUGAGAUCAGUGUGGAGAGAGCAGACUGUAGCUGCUUGCACUGAUAUAACACUUUUUUUCUUGUGGUGAUAGUUAGGGGAUAGUCAGUGUGAUAUUUUGUGUUUUUAGAUGUUAGAUGGAUCCUAAUUAUCUGGCUAAAUACAUGAUAUUAAAAUCUAUAUUUUUAAAAAAUAAAAAAGUGAGAAAGGAGCUUAAAGUCAACAUGUCACGUGUUUGCUUUCCUUCUGUUCUCUUUCACAGUCAUUAUUCUUGUCUGUGUGGAAUCUGUAUUCCGGUAAUGGGUCAGUAAUUGUUAAUAUGGGGUAUCACUGUUACUUUCGAUGCACUAUGGGCUAUGGAGGACUAAGUAUAGCACUGUUCUGGUUUCAGCGUUAAUAUUUAGAGACAAUACCCCCACUUUCAAAAUCCUACCUAAAAGAAACAGGGAAAGUUGAUCUCAGUCCUGCAAAAUGCAUGAAAUCUUCUCCCUUUGAGUCCCUGGACUUGUGGGUGAGAGAGGACAGACAUAGUGAUGUUGUGAUUCAUCGCCGCCACUUAAAUUUUUAUUAUUUUCAGUCACGCUGGAUUUUUCCAGUGCUGGUGAAUGGCGACUAGGCCUGCUAUGUUCUGCUUUGCUGCCUUGUUUACCUGAGGCUUUGAUUCAGUCGACAAUAUUGAUUAUUAAUCAUUUCAUGGAUUUAGUUUAACAUAUUGUGAUUCAGAUUAGGGUUAGGCUGAUAGAUGAUGCCAUUGUCCCCCCUGAUCCCCCCCUCAUUCCCCCAGCAUUCCGCGGCAUUCCA
ensembl:lncRNA